rnacentral:rRNA from 1 species
UACAGAGGGUGCGAGCGUUAAUCGGAAUUAUUGGGCGUAAAGAGCUCGUAGGCGGCUUGUCGCGUCGGUUGUGAAAGCCCGGGGCUUAACCCCGGGUCUGCAGUCGAUACGGGCAGGCUAGAGUUCGGUAGGGGAGAUCGGAAUUCCUGGUGUAGCGGUGAAAUGCGCAGAUAUCAGGAGGAACACCGGUGGCGAAGGCGGAUCUCUGGGCCGAUACUGACGCUGAGGAGCGAAAGCGUGGGGAGCGAACAGG